rnacentral:rRNA from 1 species
UACAGAGGUCCCAAGCGUUGUUCGGAUUCACUGGGCGUAAAGGGUGCGUAGGUGGCCAGGUAAGUUCGGUGUGAAAGCUCGGAGCUUAACUCCGAAAUGGCAUUGAAUACUAUCUGGCUAGAGGGUCGGAGGGGAGACUGGAAUUCUCGGUGUAGCAGUGAAAUGCGUAGAUAUCGAGAGGAACACCCGUAGCGAAGGCGGCACUCUGGGCCGAUACUGACACUGAGGAGCGAAAGCGUGGGGAGCGAACAGG